rnacentral:lncRNA from 13 species
AGCCCUCGGCCUUUCCCCCUGUUCCCACCCUAUCUGUGAACACACUCACACAGUUCUAAGAGGUACUAGGAUAAGACUCUGAGAAGGAAAUGUUGUUUCACAAAUGAUCUCAAUUUCCUCCUCGUAGAGAAAGGAAGCCUAAACUGAAGGACCCCUUGGAAGCAGCCCUGCAAGGGAGUGGCGUGACCUGCACUAACAUACACCUCAGAUGGUGUGUCUCUUAGAUGCUGGUCCUGGCUGCCUGCUUGUGGAGCCCUGAGUGGGACAAGGCUCUGGACAUCUCGUUAGGCAUGAAUGAUUGCCCUAGGCAUGAAGAUCUUGGAUCAUUCUCUACAGCACAUGUUUCUUGAUGGCUUAAAGACUGUCCAUAGGGUGCUGCAAUGAUUUCAUGAGCCUCACAACUGCAGUCUUUGACAAAGAAGAAAAAUAUUUCUGAUUCUAAUGACAGAGAAAAUGCCCAUUUCUUCUAUUUCAAAAUAUUGCCUGGUUAUUCAUAACAUGUCAAGACUACUGUAUUAGCCCAUUUUAAUGCUGCUAAUAAUUACAUACCCAAGACUGGGUAAUUUAUAAAGGAAAGCGGUUUAAUUGACUCACAGUUCAGCACUCAGGAAACUUACAGUCAUGGCAGAAGGGGAAACAAACGCAUUCCUCUUUGCAUGGCGGCAGCAAGGAGAAGUAUAAGCAAAAGGGGUAAAAGCCCCUUGUAAAGCCAUCACAUCUCAUGAGAACUCGCUAUCAUGAGAACAGCAGCAUGGGGGUAACUGCCUUCACGAUUCAAUUACCUCUCACCAGCUCCCUUCCAUGACAGGUGGGGAUUAUGGGGACUACAAUUCAAGAUGAGAUUUGGAUGGGGACAAAGCCAAACCAUCUCAACUACGUACAUGUUUUAUUGACUUUUUGAAGAGGAAAUAUCACUUUAUUUAGCUUAAAUUAGCAUAAUUUUUCUUGGCUAUUAGCUGCUCCAGUG